rnacentral:lncRNA from 1 species
AUAGUAUUUAAAAAUAAAAUAAUCAUUUAAAAAGUAAUCAAGAAAGUAAUCAUUUAAAAAUAAAAGAAAAUAAGAACAAAUGUUGUAUAGGUGUUAUCAAAGGCCAUUAAACUGCAAACUUAAGGAGCCUAGGAGGUACAUCAAAUUAGGAAACCUCAAUACAGUCCUCUCAAGAUAUGCCUAUGAAGAGAACGUAACAGUCCUUUGGGAUGAUGCAAAAGUAACCAAACAGGUAGGUAUUAAUGAAGAAAAGUUUGUAGCUGAAAUUUUGGAGAUAACCAACCUACAAGGGAAGGAAGAUGUUAUCAAUAACAGAAUCUCUGAGCAGUCAUCUGCUGUUUGGCUAUACACAUUGAAUACUCUUCAUCCAUAAAUCUUCUUUUACAAAUCAGUACUCUACUCUACCACAAUAUAUAUAUUUUUACAAUAUUUUCAACCC